rnacentral:piRNA from 1 species
UGAAGCCCAUCUAUACAGGAUUAGGUCAGA